rnacentral:rRNA from 1 species
UACGUAGGUGGCAAGCGUUGUCCGGAAUUAUUGGGCGUAAAGCGCGCGCAGGCGGUCCUUUAAGUCUGAUGUGAAAGCCCACGGCUCAACCGUGGAGGGUCAUUGGAAACUGGAGGACUUGAGUGCAGAAGAGGAAAGCGGAAUUCCACGUGUAGCGGUGAAAUGCGUAGAGAUGUGGAGGAACACCAGUGGCGAAGGCGGCUUUCUGGUCAGUAACUGACGCUGAGGCGCGAAAGCGUGGGGAGCAAACAGG